UUUUGUAAAUGUUAUUCAAAUCGAAUUCGAAUAUUUUAGUCGAAUUCGGAUACGAAAUUUAAAAUUCGAAUAAAAAUCAGACGAAUUCAGAUUAUCUGGAUACUAAACGAAUUCAGAUCAAGGGUUUUUGGACCGAAUUUGUCUGAUUGACAGACUUAGUUGGAGAGAGCGUGGUCAUCUUCUUCUGUCGUUGGUUAAGCUGAACGUUCGACAUUGAGGUAUUUUUUUGGUGUUUUGUCUGUCUCAUAUUUUAUUUUUAGGAACGCUUUCUUUUCUUCAGGCUAUAUGAGACGAUUUUUCCUCAUAUCACUCCUCUUGUUGAUCGCACUGAGGUUCCUAUUAAUUGUUGAUGAUAAUGUUGCUGAGAAUGAUAUGUGUCGACAUUAAUGAUGGUGAUGACGUCGAAAAUAAUGAUGAAGAAGAUGAUGAUGAGGAAGAUGAUAAAGAAGUUGGCGACCAAGAUAAUGGUGGUGGUGAGGUCAAGGAAGGAAGGCAAAUGUGCUUUUAGAAAGUACUUAGCCAUUUUAUCUCACAAACGACCGACAGACAAGUGCAAAGGAAGCAGACAUACUGUCAUUUAAGAAAGUUGCAACACUCUCAGUGUCACGCAGUUGGGACUUAAGCUCUUCAUGCAUUCUUAUCGGCAAGGGAGCUCAUCUCAAAAACUGUCUCGUAUACUUUCUAGCGAAGAUCUUUGAUAUUUGCAUUUAGGAUUCGGCUUGUCGUUUUUUAGCAGUCCUAUGGUCUCCGCAUCAGCUCCUUCACUUUCCGCUCCAUGGUUGGCUUGGUUGAGUCGUCGAAAGUCUCGAGAUCUCUUAUCUUCUUCAAUUGCUGGUUGAUUGUUAGUCGCGAGUUUUGAUACUUUUCUUGCGUCUUCUUGUGGAAACGCUAAUCCUGCUGAGUAUUAAAAUAAGACCAAAGCCCUUGAAGAGCGAGAUGCGUAAGAGCUCCUCCAGUCGAAUAGAGGAAAAUUUCAACUGACUAAAUGAUGAAUCUAAAGGAAUUAAGGGACUAACCGGUAAUUAAAUUAAAUGACUUGUUAACACCAAAAUUGUUUCCUGAUAUUGCAAGUAAUUUAUCCAAGAGAUAAAAAAGCUUAGGGACUUACUUGCAAAAUAUCAAGUGAACUAAAAAUUAUACAUGG
rnacentral:lncRNA from 1 species